UAGGGAAUCUUCGGCAAUGGACGGAAGUCUGACCGAGCAACGCCGCGUGAGUGAAGAAGGUUUUCGGAUCGUAAAGCUCUGUUGUAAGUCAAGAACGAGUGUGAGAGUGGAAAGUUCACACUGUGACGGUAGCUUACCAGAAAGGGACGGCUAACUACGUGCCAGCAGCCGCGGUAAUACGUAGGUCCCGAGCGUUGUCCGGAUUUAUUGGGCGUAAAGCGAGCGCAGGCGGUUUGAUAAGUCUGAAGUUAAAGGCUGUGGCUCAACCAUAGUUCGCUUUGGAAACUGUCAAACUUGAGUGCAGAAGGGGAGAGUGGAAUUCCAUGUGUAGCGGUGAAAUGCGUAGAUAUAUGGAGGAACACCGGUGGCGGAAGCGGCUCUCUGGUCUGUAACUGACGCUGAGGCUCGAAAGCGUGGGGAGCGAACAGGAUUAGAUACCCUGGUAGUCCACGCCGUAAACGAUGAGUGCUAGGUGUUGGGUCCUUUCCGGGAUUCAGUGCCGCAGCUAACGCAUUAAGCACUCCGCCUGGGGAGUACGACCGCAAGGUUG
rnacentral:rRNA from 1 species